CCUUGGAGGCUUAGAAGUAAGUAUAAUUAAAUGAGGGGUAUUGUGGUAAUUGAACAAUAGUUGAUAAAUAUAAAUAGAAGAAAGAAGAAGAAAGAAAGAGGGAUCUGAAAAUGGAAGGAGCAAACCGUGAGAGAGAAGGGAGAAGGAAGAAGAAGAAGAGAAAAGAGGGGAAGAGAAGGGAAAAGGGAGAGAAGUAGAGGAAAAUAAGUUUAAAGGUUCUCCUAACGAUCCUCAAUAGGAUUUUCGGGUCUUUCGUCUGACAUUCCUUUUAGUUCUAUAUUUUCCGGGUUCUUAGUUUCUGAUAGCAGGUGAACCUUGUUGAGUGUUCCUGCUUCUUCUGUUUUGGGUCGGUAUGCCUUGCUUAUCUUUCAAGGCUAUUUGAUUCGAUGUCUUAGGCGCUCCACUAUUACCUUGUUUUGAUUAAGUUUGGAUUUUGACAAUGUAAUGAGUAUUAUGGAUUAUUGUUUUGUUUUAAUUACUGAUGAGGAGUUUUAAACUAUCUUUUGGUUUCAUCAGUUUUGAAUAAUAUAAGAUUUCUGAAGAUUAUGAAA